rnacentral:rRNA from 1 species
CACGUAGGGCGCAAGCGUUGUCCGGAAUUACUGGGCGUAAAGCGUGCGCAGGCGGUGAUGUAAGACAGUUGUGAAAUCCCCGGGCUCAACCUGGGAACUGCAUCUGUGACUGCAUCGCUGGAGUGCGGCAGAGGGGGAUGGAAUUCCGCGUGUAGCAGUGAAAUGCGUAGAUAUGCGGAGGAACACCGAUGGCGAAGGCAAUCCCCUGGGCCUGCACUGACGCUCAUGCACGAAAGCGUGGGGAGCAAACAGG